CCUUUCUCUACACUAAGAAGCUCUCUGACCCUCCUUUCUCACAUCCAAAUAUGGGUAUUAUCUGAUUUUUAUGAAAGAUUCAAAUUAGAUUUGAAUUGGUUACCAUAUAUAUAGAUAAUGUUUAACAUUAUCUACAAGUCCACAUGUCACAUCCUUUAUCCUCUUGAUUUUGUGCAACAAAUAAAGUGACAUGGGGUGUGGAAAAUCAAAAAGAAAUCAAUUUUACCAUGAAAAAAUAUGUGGAGGCAUCCCAUGUUUCCUUUUGGGCA
rnacentral:lncRNA from 1 species